rnacentral:rRNA from 1 species
AUUGAACGCUGGCGGCAGGCCUAACACAUGCAAGUCGAGCGGAGCGGCGGACGGGUGAGUAAUGCAUAGGAAUCUGCAUGGUAGUGGGGGAUAACGUCCGGAAACGGGCGCUAAUAACGCAUACUCUCAGAUGAGCCUAGGUGGGAUUAGCUAGUGGGGGGUGGAAAGGCCUACCAAGGCGACGCUCCGUACCUGGUCUGAGAGGAUGAUCAGUCACACGUGAACUGAGAAAUGGGCCAGACGCCUAAGGGAGGCAGCAGUGGGGAAUAUUGGACAAUGGGCGAAAGCCUGUUCCAGCCAUGCCGCGGGUGUGAAGAAGGUUUUCGGAUUGUAAAGCACUUUAAGUUGGGAGGCGUUACCAACAGAAUAAGCACCGGCUAACUUCGUGCCAGCAGCCGCGGUAAUUC